rnacentral:rRNA from 1 species
UACAGAGGGAGCAAGCGUUAUCCGGAAUGAUUGGGCGUAAAGCGUCUGUAGGUGGUUCAUUAAGUCUACUGUCAAAUACCAGGGCUUAACCUUGGGCAGGCAGUGGAGAACUAAUGAGCUAGAGUAUGGUAGAGGCAGAGGGAAUUCCAUGUGGAGCGGUGAAAUGCGUAGAGAUAUGGAAGAACACCAGUGGCGAAGGCGCUCUGCUGGGCCAAAACUGACACUGAGGGACGAAAGCCAGGGGAGCAAAUAGGAUUAGAUACCCUCGUAGUCC